rnacentral:rRNA from 1 species
ACGAACGCUGGCGGCGUGCCUAAUACAUGCAAGUAGAACGCUGAAGAGAGGAGCUUGCUCUUCUUGGAUGAGUUGCGAACGGGUGAGUAACGCGUAGGUAACCUGCCUUGUAGCGGGGGAUAACUAUUGGAAACGACAGCUAAUACCGCAUAACAAUGGAUGACACAUGUCAUUUAUUUGAAAGGGGCAAUUGCUCCACUACAAGAUGGACCUGCGUUGUAUUAGCUAGUAGGUGAGGUAAUGGCUCACCUAGGCGACGAUACAUAGCCGACCUGAGAGGGUGAUCGGCCACACUGGGACUGAGACACGGCCCAGACUCCUACGGGAGGCAGCAGUAGGGAAUCUUCGGCAAUGGGGGCAACCCUGACCGAGCAACGCCGCGUGAGUGAAGAAGGUUUUCGGAUCGUAAAGCUCUGUUGUAAGUCAAGAACGGGUGUGAGAGUGGAAAGUUCACACUGUGACGGUAGCUUACCAGAAAGGGACGGCUAACUACGUG